rnacentral:misc_RNA from 1 species
GCAAACUUGGUCAUUUAGAGGAAGUAAAAGUCGUAACAAGGUUUCCGUAGGUGAACCUGCGGAAGGAUCAUUACCGGGUUUCGCGGGGCCUCCGCCCCGCUCCCCACGCCCUCUGCAAACCCCCCUUCUUCGACCCCGUGGGCAACGGGCAUCGCGGGGGAGGGAAAGGCCUUCGGGCCGCCCCCCUCCCCCUCCGGCCCGCCCGCCAGCGCGAAAACCCUGCCUCAAACCUUCUGCGUUCUGAGCGACACUAUGAAAAUAGCGAAAAACUUUCAACAACGGAUCUCUUGGUUCUGGCAUCGAUGAAGAACGCAGC